rnacentral:lncRNA from 1 species
UUCCAGCCACUCUCAGAGGUUCUCACUGUGUGUUAGUCCCCAAAACAAGACCUGUGGGAACAUUGCAUGGACACCACAGUGGACAUCAAAAUGCAGAAGGGACCAAGAAUAUUUCAGAAUAAUACGAGUUAAUUCCAUGUAAGGCUGUCACUGCAUCUCCUGAGACCCUAGGAGUUGACCCGAGGGCUGCAGAACCAGAGAUAGGGGCGCAGCUACUGGAAGCAUGUCCCCACACUAUGACUAUAACUGGAGGAACC